rnacentral:rRNA from 1 species
AGAGUUUGAUCCUGGCUCAGAGCGAACGCUGGCGGCGUGCUUAACACAUGCAAGUCGAGUGCGCGCCUGUAGCAAUACAGGUGGCGCACGGCGCACGGGUGCGUAACACGUGGGUAAUCUGCCCUUCGAUGGGGAAUAACCUCGCGAAAGCGAGGCUAAUUCCGCAUAACAUUCCGAGGAUCUCGGUCCUUGGAUUCAAAGUCGCAAGGCGCCGAUGGAAUGGCUCGCGUUCGAUUAGCUAGUUAGUGGGGUAAUGGCCUACCAAGGCGACGAUCGAUAGCUGGUCUCAGAGGAUGAUCAGCCAGACUGGGACUGAGACACGGCCCAGACUCCUACGGGAGGCAGCAGUUAGGAAUUUUGGGCAAUGGGCGCAAGCCUGACCCAGCAACGCCGCGUGGGUGACGAAGGCCUUCGGGUUGUAAAGCCCUUUUCUGAGGGAAGAUGAUGACGGUACCUCAGGAAUAAGCACCGGCUAACUACGUGCCAGCAGCCGCGGUAAUA